AACCUACAACAACAACUGAAGAGAUGAAUAUAUGCAAGAUAUACACGUACCUUCCCCUGCCCCAAGGAAGGACUUUUUAUCUGCACCUCUCCCAAGAGGAGACUUAUUAGCUCUGUGCAGGUACAUCAGUUCAUUAACAACACAGCAAUGAACAUACACUGGAAGGAGACUCCUCUUUGGAAGGGUGUGUGUAUGUGUGCAUGUGUAUGUAGGGGAAGUGCACCCACACUUGUUCCUCUCCUCCAUCCCAAAUGCAUACUUUAUGAUGCCAGACAAAGUCACAAGCAGAAACAAGUAAGACAAUGCUUUCCCCUUAGCCUUCCUUCUUCAUGACAGUUGCAAAAUUAGCAUCAGAAAAUUACCCAAUGAAAAUUUUAAUCCCCAAUGACAAAAAAAUAAUUUUAGAGAUUUUUGGUGAAAAAGAAGCUUUUCAAAGAAAAAAAAAAAGCCUGUUUUUAUAUUUAAUUUGUUCAAAUUUACUGUACUUGCUAAAGUCCAAAAGUGUUCAAUCAAUCAGCUCUAUGCAAAUGCUAAAGCAACCUGUCUCCUAGGGAAAUUCAACAGGUAAAAGCUCAUCUGGCUCAAAUUUAUCUUCCCAUCAGCAUUCCUCUUGUUCUCAAUAUGGGAGCAGCAUUUCUGCCAAUGAUAAACAGAAGACAGUUCUCUGUGAAAGGAAAAAUAUCACUCAGCAGAAAAAGAAACAACUUGCUGUGGGCCAAGGAGAACAGGGUUUCCUGAAGCAAGGAAGCAGAAAAAGCGAACCCAGAUAGACAAACCCAUAGGCUAAGACAGACUUCAGUUUUGGGGGAAAAAAAAAAACCAAACAGCACAGAAACAGAAGAACAGACAAUACCACCAAUUCUUCACUUCCCAGUGUAAAAACUGUAACUGGGCUCAACAUGAGCUUUCAGAUCUCUGCAGUCUGGGCUGAAGGAGGUGGUCAGCAAAAAUAGCAGCAGAUAGCAGAGAAUGAAAGUUUGGGGGAGAACCUAGUCUUCCCACCUUUCAGAUGGUGAAAGGAAUGAGAAUUGAUUGAAUUAUAAAGAAAAGACGAGAGAAAAACUGAAGAUGGUAAUGUACAAAGGCACGUGGAAAAGUAGCUAUCCCCAGGGGAAAUCAAGCAGUUUUUGUUUUGGUCAAAGGCAGCAGAAGAAACAGGGUAGACGAAAGCAAGUUCAUAGUUACACCUGUAACCAAAGUGUUUGCUGCAGUUAUGUAGCUUUUCUAGCUCUCCAUACAAGCAGUAUAUGCAGUGUGUUUCUGUACUUACCCUCUACCCAGAUUUGGCUGUACCAACGCUUGUUUUCCUGCAUCCGCUCAGCCUAUACUUGUAUUCCCUGUCCCAGCUUUUUACCUUAACAAACCACCUGCAUAACACAACAUCAAAUUUCUCACCAAAAUUACUAAAAUUAGCCAUUAAGCAAAGGAAGCCUUGCUCCCUCCAGCUGUGGCAGGUCCAUGCCAAGCUAGGCUGCCCUGGAAGUUUAGCACCCGCAAGCCUGCAGCCUCUGCACUGGGCAUGGGAGACAGCAGGUGGACUGUUUGUGGCACUGUCUUUCAAAGUGUGGCGAGUCAUGAGCUGCAGGGUGAGACAUGCCACCCAAAUGAAGUGUUUCUGGCUGCUUGUCACGGCUGAAGGCUACCUCUAACCUAAGCAUUUAUCUUUGUACUUGCUUACAGGUUCACACAACGAAAAAGGCACAUACAACUGGUAUGUGUAUUGAAGGUUGCGGCAGCAUUUUUCUUAUCAAAGAGGUCAGUUUAUGUGUACACAGAACUAGGGCGAUCAGAAACCAGGUGACCCACACAGCAGUGCCUACCUCUGCCUGGGAGCUUGUCACUGUAGCUUGGAAGUGACCGCCUCGAAGCCUUGCUGUAAAUAGUCUGUUGCCCCUCCGUUUCCUUCCCAUUGCUGCUGUAACAAAGCAACUGAUCCUGGAAGAUGACAGGAAAAGCAUGAUCUGUGCACCAGCCAAAAGAAACGCAGCGCCUCCGUAUCACUGAAGUCACAUGGCAGGACAAUGCAGGAUUAAGUAACUGCAAUGUCACUUUAACCCGCCUUUAUUUAGAUGAGCUUUCUUUAACGCCUUGAGCCUUCUCAAAUUUUUGCCAGACGCAUGGUGUGCCUAAGCAGACAGAUGAAGAAAGUCAUUAAAACCAUUAUGUAACAGCCAAGCACUUCACUUAGAGACAGCACACCGGGCAUCAUUUUACCAGUUUAACUCAAUUUGUUUGGCAGCAUGUGGAAAGAAGUCCUUACUCUGAGUACAUAACUAAUGACUUAUCAUUAAAACAGUACAUUGUGUGACAGUGGCCUCUAAACUCCAGCAACCCCACUAAGAGGAAGAGGAGAGCCUGAGGGCACCACAGCUGCUCUUCCUGCUCAGAGCACAUGCUGCAUGGUCACCAUCCCCUCUGCUCUGCUCACUGGGCUGCCCCAUGGGCCAUGCCUUCAGCCCUAGCACUGCUGCAACUGCAGCCAGGCAGCAAGUGCCUGUUCUGUAAUGUGCCUUUGAACUCCUCUUAUUCCCUUACGGAGAUUUUACUCCUGUUUGAGCUCUGCUAUCACACAGCUGCACAGGAAGAGCCCAUUCUUGUGUCUGAUAGAAAACUGUAUGAUAUAACCAAAUCAAUCUUGGAUCUGGAAUGCUGUCAAAUCACAAGAAACAGUGAAUGAAAAGAAGUGGAAAGUAAACAACUUGUAAACACUGCCCAAACUCUAAGACAGAGUAUUCAAAUAUGUUUCAUUGUGUUCUGUGGAUGUAAGAGUCAGCCCCCUGACAAACACUGCAUGUUUGCAACCAUCCCUGGCUAAAGCCUGAAACUGUAAAUGAAGGAAAGACUGAGUGGAAACGGAGCAAAGCCUGUGGGAUCUGCCCGUCAGCCUAUCCUGAGAAGUACUGCAUGCUGCCUCUGUCUCCAUUUUUUGAUACCAGGGAAGAAAUACUUAGGAUGUGGAGUAUCCUCAGCAAAAAUACAAGGUAAACAAACAAGCAAGAUCCACAUAAACCUGAACUCCCAUUCUGUAUUUGCUCUCCUCCAUUUGUGGAAAGAACAAUUUCUUGCAGGACUGCAUGAAUUCUGGCCCAUAGUUGUUUUCUAGUUUAACCUGUCUCACUUAGUGAUUUUAAGAAUGAUUUAGGUAAUAAAAAAAAUGUUAACAUGAA